rnacentral:rRNA from 1 species
GUAGCGAAAUUCCUUGUCGGGUAAGUUCCGACCUGCACGAAUGGCGUAACGACUUCCCCGCUGUCUCCAGCAUAGACUCAGCGAAAUUGAAUUCUCCGUGAAGAUGCGGAGUUCCCGCGGUCAGACGGAAAGACCCCGUGCACCUUUACUACAGCUUGACAGUGGUAUUAGCGAUUAUUUGUGUAGGAUAGGCGGGAGUCUAUGAAACCAAGGCGCCAGCUUUGGUGGAGACAUCCUUGAAAUACCGCCCUGAUAAUUGUUGAUAUCUAACCGCGGCCCAUGAACCUGGGUCCGGGACCCUGUGUGGUGGGUAGUUUGACUGGGGCGGUCGCCUCCCAAAGAGUAACGGAGGCGCGCGAUGGUGGGCUCAGAGCGGUCGGAAAUCGCUCGUUGAGUGCA